rnacentral:snRNA from 1 species
GUGCUUCAGCAGCACAUAAGGUAAAACUGGAACAAUACAGGAGAAUAGCAUAGCCCCUAAACAAAGAUGACAUGUAAAUUUGUGAAGUGUUCCAUAUUUUU